rnacentral:sRNA from 1 species
GUAUGAGGGUGUUGGAAGCCCUGGAACUGGAGUUACAGACAGCUGUGAGAUGCCUCGUGGUUGCUAGGAAUUGAAUCCAGCUCCCCUGAACCACCAGCUCACACCCGACUCACACCUCCCAGUUCCCCUUUCCAGCCCUCACCUUCUUACAGAAACAGACCCACACUCGUGUACCCUGGAGCUCACCCCAGCAUGGACUGGGCAUGAUCUCAAGGAAGGACAAGCUCACAGUAGUCCCUCACUCAGACAGUACUGACUCAGUGCCCUCGAAUCAGAGAAGCAGACGGCUUCUCCCUCCUCCUUUCAGCCAACAAAACACCGCCACGAGAGGUGGUAGGUUCCGAGCCAGUGGGGUUCAGGGACACAAAGAAGCACCACAGCUGCUGCUUAGCACCCUCCAAACCACACCCCAACUGCACACCACACCACCACCGCAGCAGCCCACCAUGCCAUACUUCCCCUACUGGGCCCUGUUGGGCUAUAGAAAAAAAUGUCCUACAAAGAAACAAUAUAAGUAUUUUCUAUUGCUUCCCAGGACCGGAGCAAAGCCCUUACCUCGGAAGAGUGUCACCCUCAGAACACCCUCCUCCCCCAAAAAAUACACAAACCACUUGGCAUGGUUAAAAGCUGACAGGGCAUGGGAAGGGAUAUUCCACAAGGGUUGACACAGUUUUCAGGCUCACAACAGGAUACCUUUAAAAGAAGCCCACCUUCUACCAUGAGAAACGAAAGACAGAAAUAGACUCCACAGCAGCAAGGGAAGGGACUGGCAGGCGUGGGGGUUUUUUUUCUCUUCUUUUUUUAAAGAUUUGUUCUGAUCUAUGUUCUCCCACUAAUAGUUUAAGCAAACCCACAUUGUUCCCAAGGAGAUAUUCCUUACUAAAAGCUGGUUGCCACAGCUCUGCUCAGCACUACUCUGGAAUUCUAUUCUCCAAACUGGGAUGCCUCCUUUCACAGCAAGGGUCAGGCCAUCCUGGGAAAUCAGCAAGAGGACAAGUGUAGGUGUACCUCACACUGUGACCCACAGACUUAGGACUCUCUUCCUUAUGGUCCACCAAGUGAUCUCCUCAAACCCAAGGACCAGAGAGGGAUAAGGAUGCACCUAGGUCACACAGUAAGCCAGAGGCCAAGGAUACCAGCCCUGGCUUUCAAUGCUGAUUUUAUACAUUCACCUGCAUAACGUUUUUUGCUGGCUAUCCAUCACUCUUGGCAAGCAGACAGCCCCAGGAGGGUCUGCUUCAGACUGCCCUAUUCACUGGUGAUAUCUGCACAGUCUGGAAGGAAUAAGUACCUGCUAGGUGGGUGGAUGAGUGGGUCCAAGCCUGGACCAAUAGAUGUUGAAAGAAUAGGCUCUCAUUUCAGGAUGGGGGUGUACUUCUGUGAGCCACGCCCCUCUGCUAGAUGCUGGAGUAUCUCCCCUCCUCUCAGUGUGUCCCCAGCUGGUGGUCAGGUGGAUAUUCCGCAAGCUCACAGAGGUCCAAGAUCAGGCCGGGGACAGAGCUCUAGGAGCCCAGGCAGGGAAGUUCAAGUCCACUUUGAUUCUUGUGAUCUUUGGCUUCCUGGAUGUUAAGCACCACCUGGGGUCAAGGAAUGGUUCUUGGACCAGAAAGCUUCAAGCUAUACGGAGGAGUGGGGAGAAGAUGGAGAACAAAGGACUGGGUUCAGCUGAGAACCCCAGCCUACAAGGAGAGGUGAGCCAGAUCUGGUAAUGAUUCUAGCAUCAAACUCUUCUUUUGAGUUAGUCACAGAGUUCACAGAGCGCUAACGGAGCCACUGGAAGCCGCUUGAGCAGGAGAUCGGCUCAGCAUUCCCUCCUAGAUGGUACAGAGAGGUGCCCAGAGACAUGGCGGGUGGUCAGGAGGCUGGAUACCAGGUGCCAGCUGGUGAUAGAAUGAAGGUCCUUGAAAUCAUGACCAGCCUUCCAUUGGGGCUGAUCGGCCCUGGAGCAGGGGCAGAGUCCUCAGAACGGCCCUUUUCCAGCGCCCUUCACCCACUAGGCAUGACUGCACAGAUCCACAGGCUAGCCACACUUCUCUACCCCCUGCCAAGCAUCUAGCAACCUCAGCCUUCGGGCUUUCCAUAGGAAGGGGGUUGGUUGAUGGAACAUGGCAACUAGUAACAUUCCACUUCUACCCUGUUACGAGCACCAUGGAAACAGGACACUCAGAAUGUCCCAGCUAGGAGACCUAGCCUCAAAGCUCCAUCUACUAAAUGGAGAUACCAAGGCUGGGGUGGAAGGGUGGGGGAUGGAGAUGGGACAAGGUGAACAGACUAACCAACCAGUCCAGGAGACGGGUAGGCUCAGUUAGCAGAUGUCUCCUGUCCACUGGAUGCCCAACAAGUGUGGGCAGAAUGUCCUUCUCGCCCACCCUUCCCCCAUGCAUCUUAGUCCUGGGCUGACCAGAACAGUUCAUCAGUACCAGGCUCCAGGUUCUUCCCCAAGCUCUCUGGGAGUUGGGUCCUGGAUUGUGAUUCUCUCUCAAGCAGCCUGCCCUUGGGGAGGGGGAGGGUGGCGCUUCCUUCCCGCCCUGUUCCCAUUAACUGAGACUAAAUAACAUCAGGGAAACACUGAGGUGAGGGUCUGGGGUGUGGCUCAGUGGCACAGAACCUGCCUAACUGUAGAAAUCCUGGGUUCCAGCCCCAGAAAAGUCGGUUGCACAAAAUCUUGCCAGUGUCCUUAACCUACCUCCCAGAAGGGGAGUUUUACAUAAUCAGAAUGGUGGGCACAGCAGAGGCAGGGAAACUGAAUAAUAGGUAAUUUGAAGGCUGGAUCUCUUCCAAGGAGAAACACCUCACCAGAGCUCCCAGUCCCUGAGGUGGGUGGGUGGGGCUGGUUAGCUGAGUGAUCCCAAAGUCCACAGUCCCUGAACUCCACAGUCAAUGGACCACUCUUCCGCACACCUGCGACCUGUUCCCAAGUGCCUGCCCUCAGCAUAAAAGGCCUGGGAUUGUACAUUAACCUCCAGAUACUCAUCUUCCCCCACUCCCUAUGUUGGUCUCCCUCUCCCGAGGGACUGCAAGCCGCCCAGCACCAGACACUGGUUUAUUCAUUGCUGCCCUUCCGACCCCUGGGAUGGUGCCUGACAUACAGUAGGUGCUCAGUAAGCAUCUGCGGUGCAACCGGUGGUACACACCUGCAGUUUCAGCCACCUGGGAAGCUGAGGCAGGAGAAUUGAAUGGGUGAGAUCCUGUAUUUAAAAAGACACGUGUUCCUCCUGUCAGUGGUAAGGGCUCAGGCGGCUGUUCACCUUCAGGGCAAGUUGGAAGUCACUGAGUGAGGCGACACCCUCACUGAGCUGUAGUCUGGGUGGUCAGCUAGGACAGAAGAGGCCAGCGGGUCACAAGCCAAGGAUGUGCACAGUGGACCGGCGUGGGCUUGUAUGUUCUGCAGUGUGUUCUGCAGGGCAUUCUGCAGGGUGGCAGGUCAUAAUGGGCCAUUGUUUGUACAGACCAAGUGGCAGAACCUGGAACAGUACGGUGCUGUUUUUGUUAAAAACAAAACCAAACCACAGCUGGCUGGCUGGCUGGCUGGCUGGCUGGCUGGCUGACUGACCUGCUGAGCAAAUCCUUACACCCACAAGGAAAUGAAAACGGACCCAGAAAGUGAUAAAAGCAGACUGCGUUCCGACAGACACUCCAGGGACCACACAGCUAAAGUUGCAUGUGAGAGCAAUAGAUCGCCUUAAGGUCUUUAUUUAGUCAUUUUUAGCGUUGGGGAUAGAACCCAGGGCCUCACACUUGGCAAGUACACACUCGGUAGCUUAUACCCUCAACCUAGCCUUAUAUAUGGAUAUUUUGUAAUGAUCUAAAGGGGAUACAUUUUAGCUUAUAACAGUUCUGUAUCACUUGAGGUAUACAGUUCUUGUAACUAAACAUGAAUCAUUUGGUAGUUUGUCAAAUGAAAUGGUAUGUCCAUUCAAAAAUCUAGCGCACAAGGUCCGCAGGAGAUUCUCUCACAAUCCUACACCUACAGACGAAGCAUCUGCAGGACAGAUGGACAAGCUGUUUUAUGGUUAUGCCUCUUGCCCAGAGGGCACUCUAUAGUAUUCGAACACAGAAAGCAAUGACCUCCAGUUUACACUGCUUUCUAUCCCCCUCACACAUAAUCAAGAUAAAGUUUAAUUUAUAAAUUAGUCAUUCUGAGAGCAACGGCUCAUAAUAAAACAGAACUAUAACCCUAUGCUGUCAUAAAAUGUAUCCAGCAACACAUGAAACUGCUCAUUUCUGGAAUUUUCCAUUUAACAGUCAGUGCUACGGUUAGCCAUACAUAAUGCACACAUACAUACAGUACCAGGAUUACAAGGGUGAUUCACCAUGCCUGGCACAAAUCCACUGAUAUGAGGAGGUGACUUGGCAAAAUUCAUUCACAGUGACAGACAUCUCAAAGUGACUCUCUUAAGGGGCGGAGAGGGCUGGGGAUGUGGUUCAGUGGCAUAGUGUCUGACAAGCAAGGGUGAAGUCCUUAUCCCCUCCUCAAGCAGAAAAGCAAGGCGUGGAGGAGCUAAAGAGAAACCAUUGCAGAAAAGACAGCCGCUGUGUGAGCAGGAGAACGAAUGUGCUCAGUGACUCAUGGCACCUUAUCACUGAGACCUUUGGAAACUUUUGGAGAAUUAAACCUCUCACAAGUCAAGGGAGGGGGCUUUGGGAGAACCCAGCCCCAGGCUUUCGGUGCACAGGAUCAGUCAGGCGUAUGAACUCAGUAUGUGAGAGGCCAUGGACUGUCAGAGCAGUCACAAGUCUCAAGCAGGGCAGCCUGCGCUGAAUCCAGCCCCAGAUACUCCGCUGCUUUGCCUGUGCUGGGCUCCAUCCACCGUGAUUUGGGUUCAUUGCCAGGAAUCAAAAUAGAGCAUGCCCACUAGCCUGCUGCAGCCUGGGACUCAGCCAAAGCUGGAGCCCCAAGCAGGAAGCACCCAGGAGGCUGGUUCCCUAGCAGUGCCCGGCAUGUGGCUAGCGCAGAGGAUCAUGGGAAACCAUUGCCGGAUGUGGUCUUGGGGAGGAAAAUAGAAGCUGAGUGAUUGCAGCUCUAGCAAAAGGACUCCUGGGAUGCGCAGAACCACGAGGGAGCUCUGAAUGCACCGGAGGCGAGAAGAGAUGCAAUGGCUGAUGUGGCUUCUGGUGCUCCAAGUCUCAGUCUCCCUACAUAGUCUGUCACCUGAUCUACACCCCGAGUUUGGAAUGACUUGUAGUCAGCCACUGGAAGAGCCCUCUGAGUGCCAGGCACCGAGCAUCACUGCCCAGAAUCUGUGAGGUAGCCCAGCAUGUUGAUGUGUAUGCCUUUGUCCAUUUCACAGGUGAGAAAAAUGGGACUCAGAGAGGUUAAAAGCCUGAGAGGAAUCAGCCAGCUUCUAAGAAACAGAAAAUCACAAGCUGGUCCCCAGAUGAUAUGGUUCCUGCCACCCUUUAUACUGAAUUAUAUGAAAACUGAAGAAAAAAAGACCCCUGGGAGACAUCUCAUCCCUGGGAGAUGGUCAGGAUGGGACCUGGCUUGACCAGGAGGUUGUCCAGGGUCAGAGAACGCCCUCAGUUCUGGAGACGUGGCUCAUCAGGUAAGAGUGCACGUCACUGUUGUAGAACGCCAGAGUGUGGGGGACCCAUACUGAGGGACACACAGUUGCCGGUGACUCCAGCUCCAGGGGAUCUGACACCCUCCUCCCCAGCCCUCUGUGCACUUGGGCACAUGCUCACUCGAAUGUCUAUAUACCCUCACAGACACAUAAAAAAUGAAAACAAAUUUAGAAACCCCAACCACCCCCAAUCCCACAUGAGGACACAGCAUGUAGACCACAGUGGGCAUGUAGAAUACUUCUUCAACUGGGCAUGAUGGUCUGUAAUCCCAGCACCUAGAGCAAGAAGACUGUCAUGAGUGAGUUCUAAGCCAGCCUGAGGUAAAGUGUGAAGCCCUGUCCUACUAAAAGACCCUCCCCACACGCAUACCGUUUUUUCUUUAAAAAAAAAAAAAAGGUACUUUUUCCCCUGGACAAUGAAUUGGAACAGCCUGAGACAGACUCUAAGCUUCUGUAUCCUUGUUUGUAACGUGGGAUUAGUCAUUCCUACCCAGAACAUCUGAGAGUUAAAAUUCAUGGAGGGGCUGAGAUGUGGCUGGUUAGCAGAAUGCUUACCUAGCGUGCACAAAGCCCUGGGUCCAUCCCCAGCACCACUGAAACCCAAUGUGGUGAUGCAUGCUUAGGACAUUUGCACUGGAGAGGCAAAGGUGGAUGAGGAAUUCAAGAAAAAAAAAGUGAAGAGUGUCUAAUGAACCUUUAGACUAUGAAAAUACGGGGUGCUUCAAAGUAGGGAAUGAGAGAAGGGAUCACCACACCUGUGUCAUGGAUGAAGACUGCCUGUUCAUUUUUUAACUAUGAUUUUCAGGUCCUUUGCUCACCAAAGGAAGCCCAAUUCACUCAAAUGUUUUGAGAACUGUUUAAAUAAAUGCAAGAAAAAUUACUGAUAAAAAAAAAAGAGCAUCCUGGGCUAUAUAAUGAGUUUGAGGUCAGCCUGGGCUACAUGAGACUCAGUCAGUUAAUCAAUCAAUCAAUCAAUCAAUCAAUCAAAGAAUGAAAAGAUCCAGGGCCACUCUGUUAGCAGGCCAGGCUCUCACCACAGGCAGGAAGCCAGCCAGAACCCUGGGCUACCUGUCUCUCUCUCUUUACUGGUGGGAUGGUCUUUGUAGGUAUGCCUUGAUCCCACAUUUGGCUUCAGGAAGAGAGACUAUCUUCCUUCCAUUAUCUGGGUAAGGUUUAACCCAAAUCCAAGUCAUGAGAGGCCUCCAAAGACCUCCUUGCAGCUUAGACUCAAGGCUACCAGCUUUUGCCCACAUUAUCAAGGCUCCACAAUUCAGUCGUCAGCUCAUGCCCCAAACAUAUGAUCAUGUCACCCAGCACAGGAAGAAACCCCUCCUCCAGCUACCUCCACCCUUCUCCCUCCCCAUCUCUGGGGAGCAACAGUUGUUUCUCUCAGAGUUUCCACAAGCUUCUCCACCCCUCAGACCAAUAACCCUCUGUGCCUGGCACAGGCCCUGCCCUUCUUGCCAGGGGCAGCUGCUACUGGGGGAGCUGCCUACCCACGCACUCUCUGGCACCAGGCACUGGUUUAGCAUAAACAGGAGUCCACAGACAGAGCCGACCUAGAGCUCCCUCGGAAAGUGUCCCAGCUGGGACAGUAGCAGAGCCAAGCAGAGGCACAUGUGGGUGCCCUGGGUGCUAGGGUUGGCUUCUUCUAACCUUGGCUGGUUGAUCUAAUCAGAACCACCCUCACAGGGAGGCCAAACGGCACCACCCCAGAUGGAGAGGUUGCAGGUGUGCUCAGGAGCUUGGGUGCAGCUCCAGCACAGAGUGUGAUUUUGGGUUUGGUGCCCAAAAUACAACUCAGGGCAGAACACAGAGGUCAUAGGGGCAUUCGGGAGUGUGUGUAGCACAGGGAGGGUGUGUUGUCCUAGGUCCGUCCCCUAGUUUAGGACUGAGAACAGCCCCUCUGUACGUUGCUCUUGGUGCCCCUGUGUGAUACUGAGCAUGGGGACUGAGCUGAGCCAAUAUUCUAACCUGCCCCUGCUUUGGGGGUGAUAGGGGGAUGGUGAGGAAGGUGGUACUCCCUAGAGGGAUUCCGGUAAAAGUUCAGGGUCAGGAUGGGAAGUGUAUCAUAAGCUGGAAGGUCAUGACAGCAGGGGACAGUGACAGGGGACACUGAGAGCAGGAGCGGUUGGGUUGGUUGAGUGUGUGUGUGAGAGUCAGUCCUGGUAAAUGCCAGUGGGCUGCAUUUAGGAAAGAAGGAAAGAAGCAGGAGAGACAGGGCUGAAGUCACCCCCCACCCCUUUUUAAUUAAAAUUAAAAAUUUGAAACAGUGUUUCUAAGUUGCUAAGGCUGACCUUGAACUUACUCAGUAGUUCAAGCAGAUCUUGAAUUUGGAGUAUUCCUGUUUCAGCCCUAGUAGCCAGGAUUCUAGGUGUGUACCACCAGGUAUGGCUUGCCCCCAUUUUUAUAGUA